AUUGAACGCUGGCGGCAGGCUUAACACAUGCAAGUCGAGCGGAGAUGAGGUGCUUGCACCUUAUCUUAGCGGCGGACGGGUGAGUAAUGCUUAGGAAUCUGCCUAUUAGUGGGGGACAACAUUCCGAAAGGAAUGCUAAUACCGCAUACGUCCUACGGGAGAAAGCAGGGGAUCUUCGGACCUUGCGCUAAUAGAUGAGCCUAAGUCGGAUUAGCUAGUUGGUGGGGUAAAGGCCUACCAAGGCGACGAUCUGUAGCGGGUCUGAGAGGAUGAUGCGCCACACUGGGACUGAGACACGGCCCAGACUCCUACAGGAGGCAGCAGUGGGGAAUAUUGGACAAUGGGGGGAACCCUGAUCCAGCCAUGCCGCGUGUGUGAAGAAGGCCUUAUGGUUGUAAAGCACUUUAAGCGGGGAGGAGGCUACUGAGACUAAUACUCUUGGAUAGUGGACGUUACUCGCAGAAUAAGCACCGGCUAACUCUGUGCCAGCCGCCGCCGUAACAC
rnacentral:rRNA from 1 species